rnacentral:rRNA from 1 species
GCUGAUCCUCUUCGGAGGUGACGCUUGUGGAACGAGCGGCGGACGGGUGAGUAACACGUGGGCAACCUGCCUGUAAGACUGGGAUAACCCCGGGAAACCGGGGCUAAUACCGGAUAAUACUUUUCAUCACCUGAUGGAAAGUUGAAAGGUGGCUUUUAGCUACCACUUACAGAUGGGCCCGCGGCGCAUUAGCUAGUUGGUGAGGUAACGGCUCACCAAGGCAACGAUGCGUAGCCGACCUGAGAGGGUGAUCGGCCACACUGGGACUGAGACACGGCCCAGACUCCUACGGGAGGCAGCAGUAGGGAAUCUUCCGCAAUGGACGAAAGUCUGACGGAGCAACGCCGCGUGAGUGAUGAAGGUUUUCGGAUCGUAAAGCUCUGUUGUUAGGGAAGAACAAGUGCCGUUCGAAUAGGGCGGCACCUUGACGGUACCUAACCAGAAAGCCCCGGCUAACUACGUGCCAGCAGCCGCGGUAAUACGUAGGGGGCAAGCGUUGUCCGGAAUUAUUGGGCGUAAAGCGCGCGCAGGCGGUCCUUUAAGUCUGAUGUGAAAGCCCACGGCUCAACCGUGGAGGGUCAUUGGAAACUGGAGGACUUGAGUACAGAAGAGGAGAGUGGAAUUCCACGUGUAGCGGUGAAAUGCGUAGAGAUGUGGAGGAACACCAGUGGCGAAGGCGACUCUCUGGUCUGUAACUGACGCUGAGGCGCGAAAGCGUGGGGAGCGAACAGGAUUAGAUACCCUGGUAGUCCACGCCGUAAACGAUGAGUGCUAGGUGUUAGGGGGUUUCCGCCCCUUAGUGCUGAAGUAACGCAU